rnacentral:lncRNA from 10 species
AAGUUGGGUUCUGACCUGAUAAAGAUUUUCAUUUCCUCUGCUGAUACUCUACCAAAAUCAUCUCAUUUGUUUCUUUUGUUGUUGGUUAUCGAGUAUUUGCAAUCGAAGCCAAUAUUAGGCAGAUAAUCAAAUUUCCUUUCUUCAAACUAUAAAUUUUAGAAUCCAGACCCCAAAGUGCUGGGAUUACAGGAGUGAGCCACCGCACCAGGCACUUUUUAAAUUGUUAAAUUUAAAGUCCUAUACCAAAGAAAGAACAUUUCCUUCAAUUAGCUGCGUACAGCUUUCAGGAUCCAUGAAGGAUGAUAGGACCUCUGUACUCUAAAUAUUGGGUAUUUGUGUUCUGCUUGCUACUUCUGAUCAUUAACUGUGACAAAGUAGAACAGUCAUUGUUGCAACAUCCUACCCCUUCUUCCCCAAAAUUGUUCCAAGCCUUUCCUCUCUAGGUGCUUUGAGGCCACUCCAGAUGAUUUUAGAUUUCAGUAAACAACUCUCAGUCAUGAAUAAAAUAAGGAGACAGAAGAUAAGUUAAAAAAAAUAGCUGUACAAAAAUGAAAAAAAAAACAAUUAGAUCUAAUGGACAUAUAAGGAACAUUCUACCUAACACAGUCAAUUCUGGCUUUUGUUGUCAUAGCUUUUGGUGCUUUAGACAUGAAGUGAUUGCCCACGCCUGUGUCCUGAAUGGUAUUGCCUAGGUUUUCUUCUAGGAUUUUUACAGUUUUAGGUCUAACCUUUAAGCCUUUAAUCCAUCUUGACUUAAUUUUUGUAUAAGGUGUAAGGAAGGGAUCCAGUUUCAGCUUUCUACAUAUGGCUAGCUAGUUUUCCCAGCACCAUUUGUCAAAUAGGGAAUCCUUUGCCCAUUUCUUGUUUUUGUCAGGUUUUUCAAAGAUCAGAUGGUUGUAGAUAUGUGGCAUUAUUUCUGAGGGCUCUGUUCUGUUCCAUUGGUCUAUAUCUCUGUUUUGGUACCAGUGCCAUGCUGCUUUGGUUACUGUAGCCUUGUAGUAUAGUUUGAAGUCAGGUAGUGUGAUGCCUCCAGCUUUGUUCUUUUGGCUUAGGAUUGUCUUGGCAAUGCAGGCUCUUUUUUGGUUCCAUAUGAACUUUAAAGUAGUUUUUUUCCAAUUCUGUGAAGAAAGUCACUGGUAGCCUGAUGGGGAUGGCAUUGAAUCUGUAAAUUACCUUUGGCAGUAUUGCCAUUUUCAUGAUACUGAUUCUUCCCAUACAUGAGCAUGGAAUGUUCUUCCACUUGUUUGUGUCCUCUUUUAUUUCAUUGAGCAGUGGUUUGUAGUUCUCCUUGAAGAUUUCCUUCACAUCACUUGCAUGUUGGAUUCCUAGGUAUUUUAAUCUCUUUGAAGCAAUUGUGAAUGGGAGUUCACUCAUGAUUUGGCUCUCUGUUUUUCUGUUAUUGGUGUCUAAGAAUGCUUGUGAUUUUUGCACAUUGAUUUUGUAUCCUGAGACUUUGCUGAAGUUGCUUAUCAGCUUAAGGAGAUUUUGGGCUGAGAUGAUGGGGUUUUCUAAAUAUACAAUCAUGUCAUCUGCAAACAGGGACAAUUUGACUUCCUCUUUUCCUAAUGGAACACCCUUUAUUUCUUUCUCCUGCCUGAUUGCCCUGGCCAGAACUUCCAACACUAUGUUGAAUAGGAGUGGUGAGAGAGGGCAUCCCCGUCUUGUGCCAGUUUUCAAAGGGAAUGCUUCCAGUUUUCACCCAUUCAGUAUGAUACUGGCUGUGGGUUUGUCAUAAAUAGCUCUUAUUAUUUUGAGAUACGUCCCAUCAAUAUCUAAUUUAUUGAGAGUUUUUAGCAUGAAGGGCUGUUGAAUUUUGUCAAAGGCCUUUUCUACGCCUAUUGAGAUAAUCAUGUGGUUUUUGUCUUUGCUUCUGUUUAUAUGCUGGAUUAUGUUUAUUGAUUUGCAUAUGUUAAACCAGCCUUGCAUCCCAAGGGUGAAGCCCAGUUGAUCAUGGUGGAUAAGCUAUUUGAUGUGCUGCUGGAUUAGGUUUACCAGUAUUUUAAUGAGGAUUUUUGCAUCAAUGUUCAUCAGGGAUAUUGGUCUAUAAUUCU